rnacentral:rRNA from 1 species
UACGUAGGGUGCGAGCGUUGUCCGGAAUUACUGGGCGUAAAGAGCUCGUAGGUGGUUUGUCGCGUUGUUCGUGAAAACUCACAGCUUAACUGUGGGCGUGCGGGCGAUACGGGCAGACUGGAGUACUGCAGGGGAGACUGGAAUUCCUGGUGUAGCGGUGGAAUGCGCAGAUAUCAGGAGGAACACCGGUGGCGAAGGCGGGUCUCUGGGCAGUAACUGACGCUGAGGAGCGAAAGCGUGGGGGAUCAAACAGG